rnacentral:rRNA from 1 species
UACGGAGGGGGCUAGCGUUGUUCGGAAUUACUGGGCGUAAAGGGCGCGUAGGCGGUGCGGUAAGUUAGGCGUGAAAGGCCCGGGCUCAACCCGGGAACUGCGCUUAAGACUGCCGUGCUGAGAGUCCGGGAGAGGAUGGCGGAAUUCCCAGUGUAGAGGUGAAAUUCGUAGAUAUUGGGAAGAACACCAGUGGCGAAGGCGGCCAUCUGGCCCGGUACUGACGCUGAGGCGCGAAAGCGUGGGGAGCAAACAGGAUUAGAAACCCCCGUAGUCC